UACGAAGGGGGCUAGCGUUGUUCGGAAUUACUGGGCGUAAAGGGCGCGUAGGCGGUCCUGAUCGUCGGAUGUGAAAGGCCUGGGCUCAACCUGGGAACUGCCUUUGAUACUGAGGAUCUUGAGUUCGGGAGAGGUGAGUGGAACUGCGAGUGUAGAGGUGAAAUUCGUAGAUAUUCGCAAGAACACCAGUGGCGAAGGCGGCUCACUGGCCCGAUACUGACGCUGAGGUGCGAAAGCGUGGGGAGCAAACAGG
rnacentral:rRNA from 1 species